UGUUAAUUGUGAGCUUAGCGU
rnacentral:misc_RNA from 1 species